GUCAAGUCCUCAUGGCCCUUAUGGGUAGGGCUUCACACGUAAUACAAUGGCGCAUACAGAGGGCUGCAAACCCGCGAGGGGGAGCCAAUCCCAAAAAGUGCGUCGUAGUCCGGAUUGUUCUCUGCAACUCGAGAGCAUGAAGUCGGAGUCGCUAGUAAUCGCAGAUCAGCAAUGCUGCGGUGAAUACGUUCCCGGGCCUU
rnacentral:rRNA from 1 species